rnacentral:rRNA from 1 species
CCUACGGGGGGCAGCAGUGAGGAAUAUUGGUCAAUGGACGAGAGUCUGAACCAGCCAAGUAGCGUGAAGGAUGACUGCCCUAUGGGUUGUAAACUUCUUUUAUAUGGGAAUAAAAUGUUCCACGUGUGGGAUUUUGUAUGUACCAUAUGAAUAAGGAACGGCUAACUCCGUGCCAGCAGCCGCGGUAAUACGGAGGAUCCGAGCGUUAUCCGGAUUUAUUGGGUUUAAAGGGAGCGUAGGUGGAUUGUUAAGUCAGUUGUGAAAGUUUGCGGCUCAACCGUAAAAUUGCAGUUGAAACUGGCAGUCUUGAGUACAGUAGAGGUGGGCGGAAUUCGUGGUGUAGCGGUGAAAUGCUUAGAUAUCACGAAGAACUCCGAUUGCGAAGGCAGUUCACUGGACUGCAACUGACACUGAGGCUCGAAAGUGUGGGUAUCAAACAGGAUUAGAUACCCGAGUAGUC